UACGAAGGGGGCUAGCGUUGCUCGGAAUGACUGGGCGUAAAGGGCGCGUAGGCGGCCGGGUUGGUCGUGGGUGAAAUCCCCCAGCUUAACUGGGGAACUGCCUACGAUACUGCCUGGCUCGAGGGAGGAAGGGGCGGUCGGAACUGUCGGUGGAGCGGUGAAAUGCGUUGAUAUCGACAGGAACGCCGGUGGCGAAAGCGGACCGCUGGCCCUCUUCUGACGCUGAGGCGCGAAAGCCAGGGGAGCGAACGGG
rnacentral:rRNA from 1 species